rnacentral:rRNA from 1 species
UAAGUUGCAGGGUAUAGACCCGAAACCCGGUGAUCUAGCCAUGGGCAGGUUGAAGGUUGGGUAACACUAACUGGAGGACCGAACCGACUAAUGUUGAAAAAUUAGCGGAUGACCUGUGGCUGGGGGUGAAAGGCCAAUCAAACCGGGAGAUAGCUGGUUCUCCCCGAAAGCUAUUUAGGUAGCGCCUCGUGAAUUCAUCUCCGGGGGUAGAGCACUGUUUCGGCUAGGGGGCCAUCCCGGCUUACCAACCCGAUGCAAACUGCGAAUACCGGAGAAUGUUAUCACGGGAGACACACGGCGGGUGCUAACGUCCGUCGUGAAGAGGGAAACAACCCAGACCGCCAGCUAAGGUCCCAAAGUCAUGGUUAAGUGGGAAACGAUGUGGGAAGGCCCAGACAGCCAGGAUGUUGGCUUAGAAGCAGCCAUCAUUUAAAGAAAGCGUAAUAGCUCACUGGUCGAGUCGGCCUGCGCGGAAGAUGUAACGGGGCUAAACCAUGCACCGAAGCUGCGGCAGCGAACGUAUCACCCAAGACAACUUUACGGAGUUGACGAUUGACGGAGCGAAGCGACGUCAAAGCGUUCAUUAAAGUCGAGUUGGCUUAGGGAUACGUUCGUUGGGUAGGGGAGCGUUCUGUAAGCCUGUGAAGGUGUGUCGUGAGGCAUGCUGGAGGUAUCAGAAGUGCGAAUGCUGACAUAAGUAACGAUAAAGCGGGUGAAAAGCCCGCUCGCCGGAAGACCAAGGGUUCCUGUCCAACGUUAAUCGGGGCAGGGUGAGUCGACCCCUAAGGCGAGGCCGAAAGGCGUAGUCGAUGGGAAACGGGUUAAUAUUCCCGUACUUGGUGUUACUGCGAAGGGGGGACGGAGAAGGCUAUGUUGGCCGGGCGACGGUUGUCCCGGUUUAAGCGUGUAGGUGUGUGUUCCAGGUAAAUCCGGUUCACUUUAACACUGAGGCGUGACGACGAGGCACUACGGUGCUGAAGCAACAAAUGCCCUGCUUCCAGGAAAAGCCUCUAAGCAUCAGGUAACAUCAAAUCGUACCCCAAACCGACACAGGUGGUCAGGUAGAGAAUACCAAGGCGCUUGAGAGAACUCGGGUGAAGGAACUAGGCAAAAUGGUGCCGUAACUUCGGGAGAAGGCACGCUGACACGUAGGUGAAGUGAUUUACUCAUGGAGCUGAAGUCAGUCGAAGAUACCAGCUGGCUGCAACUGUUUAUUAAAAACACAGCACUGUGCAAACACGAAAGUGGACGUAUACGGUGUGACGCCUGCCCGGUGCCGGAAGGUUAAUUGAUGGGGUCAGCGCAAGCGAAGCUCCUGAUCGAAGCCCCGGUAAACGGCGGCCGUAACUAUAACGGUCCUAAGGUAGCGAAAUUCCUUGUCGGGUAAGUUCCGACCUGCACGAAUGGCGUAAUGAUGGCCAGGCUGUCUCCACCCGAGACUCAGUGAAAUUGAACUCGCUGUGAAGAUGCAGUGUACCCGCGGCAAGACGGAAAGACCCCGUGAACCUUUACUAUAGCUUGACACUGAACAUUGAGCCUUGAUGUGUAGGAUAGGUGGGAGGCUUUGAAGUGUGGACGCCAGUCUGCAUGGAGCCGACCUUGAAAUACCACCCUUUAAUGUUUGAUGUUCUAACGUGGACCCGUAAUCCGGGUUGCGGACAGUGUCUGGUGGGUAGUUUGACUGGGGCGGUCUCCUCCUAAAGAGUAACGGAGGAGCACGAAGGUUGGCUAAUCCUGGUCGGACAUCAGGAGGUUAGUGCAAUGGCAUAAGCCAGCUUGACUGCGAGCGUGACGGCGCGAGCAGGUGCGAAAG